UACGGGGGGGGCAAGCGUUGUUCGGAAUUACUGGGCGUAAAGGGCGCGUAGGCGGUCAGUCGCGUCUGCUGUGAAAACUCGGGGCUUAACCCCGGGCCUGCAGUGGGUACGGGCUGACUAGAGUGCGGUAGGGGAGACUGGAAUUCCUGGUGUAGCGGUGAAAUGCGCAGAUAUCAGGAGGAACACCGGUGGCGAAGGCGGGUCUCUGGGCCGUAACUGACGCUGAGGAGCGAAAGCGUGGGGAGCGAACAGG
rnacentral:rRNA from 1 species